GCCAAUUCUCCUGCAAAAACCACCAGUCAAACAAAGCAACGGCUGCUUACUCUCGACUGACGGUUGUUGAAAUCCUGUACAAAUUAUGAACAGAACAUUGUCGAACGAUGUCACGUAGACGUCCAAAUCCAUUUGCGUCCAUGGCCAGACCCAUUUUUACGGAUAUCCCAACCCAAGAACGCAUGCAGCGGUGUUGUGGUAGCACAUCAAGUAAAAACCCUAAGCCAAAUCGAACGAUGCGUAUCCGCUCGUCGGAUGCUGGGCCGCGGGGG
rnacentral:lncRNA from 1 species